CCGGACGUACCGUAGGAACUAGGGGGUGCUUCCAUCUGGAAGAAUCUGGAGACAGGUGCUGCAUGGCUGUCGUCAGCUCGUGUCGUGAGAUGUUGGGUUAAGUCCCGCAACGAGCGCAACCCUUGCCUUUAGUUGCCAGCAGUUCGGCUGGGCACUCUAAAGGGACUGCCGGUGUUAAACCGGAGGAAGGUGGGGAUGACGUCAAGUCCUCAUGGCCUUUAUGACCAGGGCUACACACGUACUACAAUGGCCGAUACAAAGGGCAGCGACACUGCGAGGUGAAGCCAAUCCCGUAAAAUCGGUCUCAGUCCGGAUUGGAGUCUGCAACUCGACUCCAUGAAGUUGGAAUCGCUAGUAAUCGUGGAUCAGCAUGCCACGGUGAAUACGUUCCCGGGCCUU
rnacentral:rRNA from 1 species